AGAGUUUGAUCAUGGCUCAGAACGUACGCUGGCGGCACGCCUAACACAUGCAAGUCGAACGAAGUAGCAAUACUUAGUGGCAGACGGGUGAGUAACAUGUAGGUAUCUGCCCUUUGGCCUGGAAUAACACGAGGAAACUUGUGCUAAUACCGGAUAAGUCUUUACGGAGAAAGCUUUAUGCACCAUUGGAUGAGCCUGCACUUGAUUAGUUUGUUGGUGGGGUAAUGGCCUACCAAGACUGUGAUCAAUAGCUGAUUUGAGAGGAUGAUCAGCCACAUUGGGACUGAGACACGGCCCAAACUCCUACGGGAGGCAGCAGUGGGGAAUCUUGCACAAUGGAGGAAACUCUGAUGCAGCGAUGCCGCGUGAGUGAAGAAGGCCCUUGGGUUGUAAAGCUCUUUCGUCGGGGAAGAAAAUGACUGUACCCGAAUAAGAAGGUCCGGCUAACUUCGUGCCAGCAGCCGCGGUAAUACGAAGGGACCUAGCGUAGUUCGGAAUUACUGGGCUUAAAGAGUUCGUAGGUGGUUGAAAAAGUUGGUGGUGAUAUCCCAGAGCUUAACUCUGGAACUGCCAUCAAAACUUUUCAGCUAGAGUAUGAUAGAGGAAAGCAGAAUUUCUAGUGUAGAGGUGAAAUUCGUAGAUAUUAGAAAGAAUACCAAUUGCGAAGGCAGCUUUCUGGAUCAUUACUGACACUGAGGAACGAAAAGCAUGGGUAGCGAAGAGGAUUAGAUACCCUCGUAGUCCAUGCCGUAAACGAUGUGUGUUAGACGUUGGAAAUUUAUUUUCAGUGUCGCAGCGAAAGCGAUAAACACACCGCCUGGGGAGUACGACCGCAAGGUUAAAACUCAAAUGAAUUGACGGGGACCCGCACAAGUAGUGGAGCAUGUGGUUUAAUUCGAAGAUACGCGCAGAACCUUACCAACACUUGACAUGUUCGUCGCGACUUUAAGAGAUUAAAGUUUUCGGUUCGGCCGGACGAAACACAGGUGCUGCAUGGCUGUCGUCAGCUCGUGUCGUGAGAUGUUGGGUUAAGUCCCGCAACGAGCGCAACCCUCACUUUUANUUGCCAUCAUUUAGUUGGGCACUCUGAAAGAACUGCCAGUGAUAAGCUGGAGGAAGGUGGGGAUGACGUCAAGUCCUCAUGGCCCUUACGUGUUGGGCUACACACGUGCUACAAUGGUAUCUACAACAGGAAGCAAAACUGCGAGGUUAAGCAAAUCCUUAAAAGAUACCUCAGUUCGGAUUGCACUCUGCAACUCGAGUGCAUGAAGCUGGAAUUACUAGUAAUCGUGGAUCAGCGUGCCACGGUGAAUGCGUUCCCGGGUCUUGUACACACCGCCCGUCACACCAUGGGAGUUGGUUCUACCUUAAGGCAAGGUUUCAAACCCUUGACCACGGUAUAGUCAGCGACUGGGGUGAAGUCGUAACAAGGUA
rnacentral:rRNA from 2 species